rnacentral:lncRNA from 1 species
GAGUCCUGCAAAUUGGCUUAAUUUCUCAGAUGUAUCAAUAUGCAAUUGGCUUAAUCGCCUCUCUCUCUCUCAAUUAUGGUGUAAUUGGUUAUUUUAUUAAUCAUUUUUAUCUGAAGCUCCUUGUUGGAUUAUAAAUUGUAAUGCUGUUUUGGAUGCAUAUGUUGCAUUAAAUUUGGGUUAUAGAUUGAAAACUGACCGACCAGUUUCACCACCAGAUGAAGAAACCAAUUGUUAGAACCAGAAGCACUUGAAGAAAUAAUCGAUGAUUCGGAUAUACAUUCAAAUUUAAUUACUUUCGUUUUCUUAAUUUUUUUUCCGUUUGCAAAAAUUGGAUCAAACUACUUAUCUGCAUCUCACUGCAAUUCUAUGGGUGGUUAUAUGGGUUAGUUGAAAUCUAAAGAAGAAACUUGAUUAGGGUGUAUUUUGUAUCAAUUUUUU